UGCCCACAUCACCCGGAAACACCUGUUCCCGUACGAUCACCAAAGUUAAGCAUAGUCUGUACCCAGAUGGGUGACCACUUGGGAAUACUAGGUACUGUAAG